rnacentral:lncRNA from 1 species
CAGAAUUUUUGUGCUUUCUCAGUCUUGCUGAUGAUCUUUCUAUGGGCCUGAAGCGUGGAGAGUGCCAGAGAGGCUGAUCCUCAGCAGUGUGGCAGAGGAAAGUUGGGUGCGACUAAGGGGUAUGCGGUGCCCACAUGCCACUGGGUCCUCAGCAGUACCACCUGAUUGGAAGUGAUAUUGGUGGAAGACAACAUUUUGCCGCUUGGAAUUCUCACCUCCACACCAAAGAAGUACUGUUUUUGUCAUUUGCACCAGCUUCUUUCUCCAGGAAAGAUCAAAACGAUGCACUGCAAGUGUGAUUGGUCCAGAUAGCUGCCUUAUCCAACUGCCUCCUUUGGACCACUUCAUCAUGGGACAGCUUGAUGCAAUCUACUUGACAAGACCCUGGAACCCCACACCCCUCAUGGAACCAGUGUCCACCUCCCAGUCACAGUGUGACCCCAGGGAACUCUUGCCUGCUUGCUUUAAACCCACCACUUAAAAGUCUCCACAGAAAACCUGUUUGAAUAGUACCCUUGACCCAAUAAGGGCAUUGGCCCCUGGGUGUCUCUCUCUCUCUCUCUCUCUCUCUCUCCCUCUCUCUCCCUCUCUCUCUCUCGCUCCCUGACCUCUGCGUGUGGACUCCAGGCAUGCCAUAUACCCCUCAGGACCUGAAGCAAAAGAAUGAAUUAAAGAAAACUCCAGAGAAUGAGCUGACAACCUACUCCCUGGUCAGUGGCUCUCCAUGCCUACCUGUGGUCUCUUGGACACCCUUGCAGAUGACUUCCUGGGAACUCUUCUGGGAGUGAAUGUUAUCAGCAAAUUCCCAAAACAACACCCCUUAGACAAAAAGCCUCCUCACCUAUGCAUUGCCUAGACCACCCACUAAAGGUGAUGGCCACAAAGAGGUGGAUUUGUUGAGUUGGUGCCAUUCCUUCUACUGCCAGCUUCACCAAAACAAUGACACAGUCUUCCUUCCGCAUGGAGACUCUUCUCUUUCCUGUGUUGCAGUGGAUGCCUCCUGCAGAUAAGAAAUGCUUAACUGAGAAAUGCUCAUGUUGGGAUAUCAUCGAUGAGACUUUAAUUUGGGCAUGGUGACUGUUUCCCUUGCUGCCACUUGACUCAAUCCCAGGAGCCUCAGUAGAGGAUAUAAUAUUACACAAGAUGCUCAAAAUGGUGGAAUUGCU